ACAGAUGAGACGACUGGGCAACAGAGAGGUUAAGUGACAUUCCUAAGAUCACACAGCUUGCAGAUGGCAAAGGUGGAUCUGUGCCCAGGCACCAGGAUUUCUUAAGCUCUUGAGGUGGUCCGAUUGUGUAGUCGAAGCUGAGAACCACUGACCUCAAGACUCUGAUCGUAAACUCUGCUGGAGAUGCUCUGAGAUGGGGCUGUGCGGCGUCCGAGGGUGAAGCACGUGCAGAGGAUGUGAUCAGAUUACAUCAGAGCACAGGGAGUCGCUCUUUGCUGACAGCUUGUUGUGGUCUUGCUCCACUACACGGCCAUACAGGUCAACUGAUGUGUAGAAGAUGGACCUGCUUGAAAUUGUGUGAUGGAUCAGCGGUGGCCAAAUAAAGUCAUGUUUGCC